rnacentral:lncRNA from 1 species
UUGUUAUUAAUAGUUCUGAUAUUUUAUGGUUCAGUUGGUUUAUAUUAUUCGAAUUCAUGUGAUUUUGAAUGAACUAUAGAACUCGUGGAUUUUUUGAAAAGAAAAAAAAUGAUUUUCUACCCCUCGUGGUAGCGUGUUUUAAAAAGAAAAGGUUUCCGUGUGGGAAAUAGCUUUCAAAAGAGUUUUCUCGUGGUUUUUAUGUUUAAACACUGAAUGGUAAAUAUCUGGUGAAUGGUAAAUGAAUGCUGAGUAUUGUAUAUUCAUGUAUUGUGGUUGUAUCCUGGUUAUACUCUGUUUGGACAUCUUGUACUUGUGCGACGCCGUGCAAAUACAGGGGAGACUCUGUCCGUGUGAACAGUGGA